ACUAAUACAUGCAAGUCGAGCGAACAGAUAAGGAGCUUGCUCCUUUGACGUUAGCGGCGGACGGGUGAGUAACACGUGGGUAACCUACCUAUAAGACUGGGAUAACUUCGGGAAACCGGAGCUAAUACCGGAUAACAUUUGGAACCGCAUGGUUCUAAAGUGAAAGAUGGUUUUGCUAUCACUUAUAGAUGGACCCGCGCCGUAUUAGCUAGUUGGUAAGGUAACGGCUUACCAAGGCGACGAUACGUAGCCGACCUGAGAGGGUGAUCGGCCACACUGGAACUGAGACACGGUCCAGACUCCUACGGGAGGCAGCAGUAGGGAAUCUUCCGCAAUGGGCGAAAGCCUGACGGAGCAACGCCGCGUGAGUGAUGAAGGGUUUCGGCUCGUAAAACUCUGUUAUUAGGGAAGAACAAAUGUGUAAGUAACUGUGCACAUCUUGACGGUACCUAAUCAGAAAGCCACGGCUAACUACGUGCCAGCAGCCGCGGUAAUACGUAGGUGGCAAGCGUUAUCCGGAAUUAUUGGGCGUAAAGCGCGCGUAGGCGGUUUCUUAAGUCUGAUGUGAAAGCCCACGGCUCAACCGUGGAGGGUCAUUGGAAACUGGGAAACUUGAGUGCAGAAGAGGAAAGUGGAAUUCCAUGUGUAGCGGUGAAAUGCGCAGAGAUAUGGAGGAACACCAGUGGCGAAGGCGACUUUCUGGUCUGUAACUGACGCUGAUGUGCGAAAGCGUGGGGAUCAAACAGGAUUAGAUACCCUGGUAGUCCACGCCGUAAACGAUGAGUGCUAAGUGUUAGGGGGUUUCCGCCCCUUAGUGCUGCAGCUAACGCAUUAAGCACUCCGCCUGGGGAGUACGACCGCAAGGUUGAAACUCAAAGGAAUUGACGGGGACCCGCACAAGCGGUGGAGCAUGUGGUUUAAUUCGAAGCAACGCGAAGAACCUUACCAAAUCUUGACAUCCUUUGAAAACUCUAGAGAUAGAGCCUUCCCCUUCGGGGGACAAAGUGACAGGUGGUGCAUGGUUGUCGUCAGCUCGUGUCGUGAGAUGUUGGGUUAAGUCCCGCAACGAGCGCAACCCUUAAGCUUAGUUGCCAUCAUUAAGUUGGGCACUCUAGGUUGACUGCCGGUGACAAACCGGAGGAAGGUGGGGAUGACGUCAAAUCAUCAUGCCCCUUAUGAUUUGGGCUACACACGUGCUACAAUGGACAAUACAAAGGGCAGCUAAACCGCGAGGUCAUGCAAAUCCCAUAAAGUUGUUCUCAGUUCGGAUUGUAGUCUGCAACUCGACUACAUGAAGCUGGAAUCGCUAGUAAUCGUAGAUCAGCAUGCUACGGUGAAUACGUUCCCGGGUCUUGUACACACCGCCCGUCACACCACGAGAGUUUGUAACACCCGAAGCCGGUGGAGUAACCAUUUAUGGAGCUAGCCGUUCGUAAGGUUGAC
rnacentral:rRNA from 1 species